UUCCGGUUGAUCCCGCCGGACCUGACUGCUAUCGGAUUGAUACUAAGCCAUGUGAGUCUUUGUAGCAAUACAAGGCAUACGGCUCAGUAACACGUAGUCAACCUACCUUAUAGACGGGGAUAACCUCGGGAAACUGAGAAUAAUACCCGAUAGAUCAUUAUGCCUGGAAUGGCUUAUGGUUAAAAUGAAUUUCGCUAUAGGAUGGGACUGCGGUCUAUCAGCUUGUUGGUGAGGUAAUGGCCCACCAAGGCUAUAACAGAUACGGGCUCUGAGAGGAGAAGCCCGGAGAUGGGUACUGAGACACGGACCCAGGUCCUAUGGGGCGCAGCAGGCGAGAAAACUUUGCAAUGUGCGAAAGCACGACAAGGUUAAUCCGAGUGUUUCCUGCUUAAGGAAUCUUUUGUUAGUCCUAAAAACACUAACGAAUAAGGGGUGGGCAAGUUCUGGUGUCAGCCGCCGCGGUAAAACCAGCACCUCAAGUGGUCAGGAUGAUUAUUGGGCCUAAAGCAUCCGUAGCCGGCUCUGUAAGUUUUCGGUUAAAUCUGUACGCUUAACGUACAGGCUGCCGGGAAUACUGCAGAGCUAGGGAGUGGGAGAGGUAGACGGUACUCGGGAGGAAGUGGUAAAAUGCUUUGAUCUCUCGAUGACCACCUGUGGCGAAGGCGGUCUACCAGAACACGUCCGACGGUGAGGGAUGAAAGCUGGGGGAGCAAACCGGAUUAGAUACCCGGGUAGUCCCAGCUGUAAACUAUGCAAACUCAGUGAUGCAUUGGCUUGUGGCCAAUGCAGUGUUGCAGGGAAGCCGUUAAGUUUGCCGCCUGGGAAGUACGUACGCAAGUAUGAAACUUAAAGGAAUUGGCGGGGGAGCACCACAAGGGGUGAAGCCUGCGGUUCAAUUGGAGUCAACGCCGGAA
rnacentral:rRNA from 1 species